ensembl:lncRNA
GAGAAGGCGGCGCUGGGAGCCGCUCAGAGCCCAGAGAAGCGGCGCGCGGCCAGGAGCCCCCGCUCCGCCACUGCCGUGCCUGCCUCCCGCAGCUGUCUGCCAUGCGCUCGCCGGGGCAGGGGCGCCCGGAGAGCGGCGGGAGCUGGGCCUGAGCCCGGGAACGCGCCUGAUCGGGGCGGAGGAGCCGCUGUCCCCACAGCCGCCCCACCCGCGCCGCUGCCUCGCUGGGGCCCGGGCCCCCUUCCUGGUCCGAAACCCCAGAGAGAUUGGUGAUGGUGAUUUCCCAGGAAGACGUGGUGUGCUCCAACUUCUGUGACAGUGAGCAACGGGACCAAUGGAUGUCCGGAUGCUGGCAAUGAGACAUGCUCUGGAGUCAGAAGACAGCAAAAAGAGAAGCAGAAGUCCCGGUGGCAAGAGUCCAAAGCAGGAAGGAAUCACUGUAACCUGUGGAUUGUACUGCAGUAGGAAACUAUCCUAGCAAGGCUCCACUUUGCCCCAGCUUCAAGCUGGAAAGGAGGAGAACAUGAAACGUUGCUUGAAGACAAUGGCCGAGACAGCAGGUCCCACCCUGCACAGCCGCCAACAUCUCUUCCCUCAGCCUUGUCUCUUCUUCUGCAGUUGGGAUCUGCACAUUUAAGCCUGAAGUGUUGUGGGAUGUACCUUGCACUGAGGCCAGGCAGCUGACCAGAGCCACCCACAAGGAGCCUCUGGAAUUAACCUCAGAUUGUCCUGUGAAGUGAAGUAUGAUCGGACAGCCUCUUUUCAGCUUUUAUGAAAAUGGAGACAGAGGAAUUGUGGCUCUUGCCAAGGUCACAGGAUUGGAACACAGAGCCAAGCCACCCCAGGACAUGCAAGAGCCUCAGAAGGGAAAAAGCCCAGCAGGAAGGGAGAACAAGUAGCCUCUGUUCUGAGGUUGUAACAGCCAGGGACCAGGAUGGAGGAGGAGGACUCCGUAAUCCUGCCCAUCUGGGACUUGGCAGGGGACCUGGGAAAAUGUACCCCAAUCCAUCCCUCAAGGGCCUUUGCCUUUGGCCCAUUGGCCUAGCAUCUCCUUCUUCACUAUGUCUGUUCUUGUCAGAUCUGUUUGGGUCUGAGGUGCAUGGAACAUUCUGGGUAGGCCUCCAGCAAACGGAAGCUCUUCACCGUGUUUCCAGCCUAGGACCAAGAGCAGCACACUGGCAAAGUUGCCAAAGCAAGGGACUCCAGCCUGCUAGGAGUUAACGACUCCCUCUCCCCAGCUGUCCUCCCCUUGGUGCUCCUCUUCCUCCCUCCUCCUGCUCACAGCAGGCAGGGCCUGGACCCGGGAGCCAUGCUGCUGUGCUGUUGCCAGGGGAGUCCGGAGGCAGAUCUGAGCUAUGCAGGGAAAAGGCCCGGCCUGUCAAAGUGUCUGAGAUGAACCGCCGCCGUCCCUGUGCAGCUGGGCUCAGACGUGUCUCAGCUCUUGUUCUGUGCCUGAGAAUGGCGAAACCCAGUGAGGUUCAAGGGCAAACUCGCUAUUCAUUAGUCAGGGGUUCUUGACGUCCCGUCUCUCCCAGGGAUGGGUUCCCCCCCUUCCUCUUUCUCCCCCUCCUAUGACACAUUCCUGGGUGCCUUUGGUGAGGACUGCACACCCUCCUCCUGCCUAGCCCCCUUUCCAAGGGCCUCUGAAUAAACUCCCCCCAAGGAGACCAGGCAGGGUAGAGACAAUGGCUGCAGGAAAUCAUUCAGGCGGGACAUGCUGGCCUGCCCUCCACCCAGUCCCCCUGUGGGCCCCACUCCCUUCUGAUUCAGGGCACCCUUGGGCCCCUAGCCUAUACAGGCCUGGAUAGGAAGAAGCCACUAGGAACAACCCUGAGGACAUCAUGUUAGUCCAGUGCCAUUCUCCGCUGGCUCUGUGGGUGCCUUUGUGGCCUGCACCAACUGGCAGGCUAAUUUUGUGGUUUCUGUACCAUCACAUGCCUAUUUCAAGACACUCUCAAGCACUGUCAGUUGGGGAGUGUAAAUUCUACAAUAUUUUCUGAAAUGUGGCAAUAUCAAAAUGUAAAAGGCAAAUAUACUUGGUCACAAAAAUGGCACUGUUUACUCUGUGGGCAUAUUUGUAAAAGUUCCCAAAGAAUUACAUACAAGGAUGUUCAUCAGAGCAUUUCUUUUGAAGAGUGUAAAGAAAUGGACAUGAACCUAUGGUCUGUUCAUACUGUGGAAUACCUAUGCAGCUGUAAAAAUCAGUGUGGUAGAUCUCCGUAUAUGAGUUGAUGUGGAAGGUUGGCCAGUUCACAUGAUAAGGUGAAUAGAAUAAGUUACAGAACAGGCUGUGGAGUAUGAUCUUAUUUGUAGAUGUUUAAAAGUGAGUCAUAAGUAUGCUUAUAUACGGAAGUAUGUACUGGAAGGCUACCUCUAGGGAGUGGGCAUGGGGGAAUGCACUCUUCUAUACUGUUCUGUUUUCUUUUCGUGCUCCUAAGAUACUUUUAUUGAAAGAUGUAAAGGGUUGUUCAGUAUAAUAGGCUUAACUUCUAUCAACUAACUUGGCGUGGGUGCUUUAAGAGGGUGGUAGUGAUGUUACUGGAGAAAGUAUCCCACAAUUACUGGUGGCUUCAGCCAUGGGCCAUUUUGGGGCCUAAUAAUCACAUAUCAUCAUGGUUGCUAGUGUUAAUCGAAAACCUACUAAGUGCCAGGCUUACUGUCUCUGGGUCUUGCUUACGUGGGUAUCAUUAUUCCAGUUUCACCAAAUCAAAAGAAGUUAAUUGGUUUGUUGCAGCUCCUCUGCAGGUGAGGGGCAGAGCCAGGAGCUUGGCUAGGGACAGGGGAGGUGGGUGGGGGAUGGUGGCUAGAUCUUGGCUCUCAGUUUCUUUCCAUGCAGACAUUGCCCCUCUGCCCUGAGGACCUGCUUGUUUGGGGGAGGAGGCCUUUGGAGGCACCGGGGUCAUGCCAGGUGUUGGACAUGGUGAACUGGGAAGUGUUCCCAUUUGGCCAUAGCCCAAAAGUAUCACCGUGCUGGGGGGUGGGGAACAGGGCUGUGAAUGGGCCUAUUUGCAUAAGCAGCAUGUGUGGAGAGAAAGACAUCGCAGAGCAGAAGAGGUGUGGGUGCCCAGUAGGGCAAUUGCCACCCCUACUUCAUCCCUGAAAGAGUAAAUGGCCUGGAAAGUGUCUCCAAGAGGUAAUGCUGCACACUACCCUCCCUGGUGGCACUGGGUCAGGUUACACCUGCCUUAGGUCGGUGGCUGCAGCAGCCUGCAGAGCUCUCAGUAGUGCCUCAGUAGCCUGGGAGGGAGUAGGGGCAGGGGGCAGGAAGAGGCAUAAUGGGGCUGUCCAGAGGGGUCUGGGAAACCUGGUCCCUGAGGCCUGGGCACAGCUACAGUCACUUCAGAUUGGCUGUGGGGCCAGUGGACUGGGAAGGAAAAAAGCAUUAAGAGUGACCAAGUGCAGAAGGCUGUCAGGUCCCAGGUCACAUGCCUUAGUGCAGUGACUCCUCAUCAUUUUGUGGUGUGUGGGUGUCAUUGGUACACCCAUUUUGCAGAUGAGGACACUGAGGCCCAGAAAAGUUAAGUUACAUGUCCUAAGUCACACAGCUUGUAAGUGCCAGAACUGAGAUCAAAACCAAGUCUCUUUGACUUUGAAGUCUGUACUUUGACUCCAAAGACAUCCUGUUUCGUUUGGCCACUUAUAGGAGGUCCCUAAAGCUGCAGACUCCCCUUGCCAGUGCCCACAUAUAGAGACAUUAACCCCUGCCCUGCAGGGUCACCUCAAAUAAUCUUUUAGCUGGGCUUCUCCCACAGUUCCACCUAAUGCCAUCCCCUGGGUUUUGCCCAAACCUGGACUGGGCAGCGGGGUGAGAGGAGGGGUUUACAGGGUUACAGAGCCUCAUACAGAUUGGAGCCCAUGGCUGCUGGUCAUCUGUAUCCCUGCAGGAUUGGCUGUUCCUUGGGGUCCUUGGCAGGAAGAUGAGGAUGCUCCCGAGACCUGCUCCAGUGCUUGCCAGAGGCUGGCCUGGUGGCCUCUGGAAAGACUGAGGCUGGAGAGGCAGAAGUAGGAGAGCAGCAAUGGCACUCAGGUAGCUUGAAUCACCAGGACCCUUCCAAGCCCCACAGGUCCUCCUGAGGGAGUACUAGGGCAUCCUCUGGGAGAGGUCUCUUCCUAUGCUGUGAACCCCCUGCCUUUCUUGCAACCUACAAUGAAUAAAUUUUCUUUGCAAAGC